GUCAUCGGUGACAUCAUGACCACCAUUUUGACACUCUUCAGUGAUGGUUGACACACAUGACCCCUUAUCAUUAUGAGUCAAAGAGGAGCUGAAAUAGCAAAACGCUACCGGGAGCGCCGUGAUGCUGACCCUGACAGAAAAAGACAGUAUCUUGAAAAAGAGAGGGUCAGGUGGAAGAAGGACAGAGACACUGGAAAGAAAAAGGGCAUUGAUGAGCUGAGUGAGCGAGAGAAGAGGGCAAAAAGAAAGAAGUGGAGAGAGGCAAAAAAGCAGCCAGAGCAAAGUCCAGGGCCAGCGCUUUGCUUUUGUCGGAGACACCACCCAGUGAUCAGUCAAAAGUACAUGAACAGAAUAAAAGUUGGAGGCCAGAAGUCAUCGAGGAGAAGCACAUUGGUGAAUGGUGUGUAGUCAACUAUGACAAUGAUGGAUACCCUGGUAUCAUUCUUGAUGUAGAGGAGCACAAUGUGAAAGUGAAAUGCAUGCACAACAAAGGCAUCAACAAAUUCUGUUGGCCAAGUCCUCGUGAUGACAUCAACUGGUAUGGGGAUUGGCAGAUUCUGUGCCUCAUGUCAGAACCACAACUUGUGAACAGGCGUGCCUUCUCAGUUGAGCCAUCUGUAUGGAAGUACAUGGAGGACCAAUUACAGUAGACCUAGAUGUCCUGAUGUUCUGAUGAGUAGCCUACCCUUGAUAUGUGUUCUGAUGUUAACUGAGUAGGCUACAGUUUGUACCUAACUCAUCCUUUUUAAUGUUUUUCUGUACUUAAUGAAUUGCGUUUGUCCACCCUGUCAUGUGAUUUUCCACCCUAUCGUGCCAAUGUCCACCCUGUCAAAUUUAAGUUUAAUGAAAAAUAAAAUAAAUAAAUAAAUAUGUAUUGAAUAUACAGUAAACCUGUGUGUGUUAUCUGAUGUCCAAAUGAUUAUCAAACAAUACCAUUAAAAAGUUUUGCUUGUUAGAUUUGUUUUUGUCAUUUUAUUUUAAAAUCAAAGAAGACCUAUGGCCAUCGCUUAGAUAAAACUGCAAUUUUAUUCUAAUUUUAGUAUUUACCAAAGACUUUUCCCAUUACCUGAAAUGUAUUAACUAGAAAGGGACAAAAGACCUUUCUGAAAAGGUAUGUUUUAUUAUAAUUAUGUAAUAAAAAACAUAUAUCUGAAGAUUACAUUUGUCCCCGACAGGGUGGACAUAUUUUGCAAUAUGCCCAUAUUUUGACAUUCUGUAUUUAAUUCAUAAAUUCAUAAAGUGUUUAAGCUUGACCAAUAUGUAUUUUUAACACCCUAGGGGCAGCUUAAUAACAUGAUUAUAAAGUGUAAGGGGAAAUCUUACCCUUUUCUUAUCGAAAUUACAAUGUCUCAA